GCACCUCUAUUCUGUCAGUAUGCUGUUUGAUGUAUCUCUUCAUAACUGGAUUAAACUUAUGUCUUCUGGCUGCAGGUAAGUGACAUUUCUUGUCCUUUUAUUAUAAUUUCUCUAUUCCCCAGUCCUUUUUCAAGGCAAUAAUUGGUUGCUGGAAAUUCUAUUUUUUUUCUAGCUGCCCAUACUAUGGAUUCCCCCGGUCAGGCUUCGAGAAAUAGGUC